rnacentral:rRNA from 1 species
GUAAGGAAUAUUGGGCAAUGGAGGCAACUCUGACCCAGCCAUGCCGCGUGAAGGAUUGACGGCCCUCUGGGUUGUAAACUUCUUUUGUACGGGAAUAACCCUCCGGACGUGUCCGGAGCUGAAGGUACCGUAAGAAUAAGGAUCGGCUAACUCCGUGCCAGCAGCCGCGGUAAUACGGAGGAUCCAAGCGUUAUCCGGAUUUACUGGGUUUAAAGGGUGCGUAGGCGGAUUAAUAAGUCAGUGGGGAAAGCCUGCAGCUUAACUGCAGAACUGCCAUUGAUACUGUUAGUCUGGAGUAUGGUUGAGGUAGCUGGAAUGUGUCAUGUAGCGGUGAAAUGCUUAGAGAUGACACAGAACACCGACGGCGAAGGCAGGUUACCAACCCAUUACUGACGCUGAGGCACGAAAGCGUGGGGAUCAAACAGGAUUAGAAACCCUUGUAGUCC